rnacentral:rRNA from 1 species
UACGGAGGGUGCAAGCGUUAUCCGGAUUCACUGGGUUUAAAGGGUGUGUAGGCGGGUAUUUAAGUCCGGGGUGAAAUCUCCGGGCUCAACCCGGAAACUGCCAUUGAUACUAUUUAUCUUGAAUCUUGUUGAGGUAGGCGGAAUAUAUCAUGUAGCGGUGAAAUGCUUAGAUAUGAUAUAGAACACCGAUUGCGAAGGCAGCUUACUAAACAGGCAUUGACGCUGAGGCACGAAAGCGUGGGGAUCAAACAGG